AACCAUAGAAACCUGCGGAGUACCUGCGGAAGGAUCAUUAUCGAGUUGCAAAACUCCAACCCUUUGUGAACAUACCUCAGUCGUUGCUUCGGCGGUGGACGGCCUUUUUUCGAAAAGGCCCGAAGCCGCCGGAGGUUCCAAACUCGAGUUUUGUUUAGUGUAUCUCUGAGCCUGAAAACAAAUAAUCAAAACUUUUAACAACGGAUCU
rnacentral:misc_RNA from 1 species